rnacentral:rRNA from 1 species
UAGGGAAUCUUCCGCAAUGGACGCAAGUCUGACGGAGCAACGCCGCGUGAGUGAAGAAGGAUUUCGGUUCGUAAAACUCUGUUGUUAGAGAAGAACAGCGCAUAGAGUAACUGUUAUGCGUGUGACGGUAUCUAACCAGAAAGCCACGGCUAACUACGUGCCAGCAGCCGCGGUAAUACGUAGGUGGCAAGCGUUGUCCGGAUUUAUUGGGCGUAAAGCGAGCGCAGGCGGUCAAUUAAGUCUGAUGUGAAAGCCCCCGGCUCAACCGGGGAUGGUCAUUUGAAACUGGUUGUCUUGAGUGCAGAAGAGGAUAGUGGAAUUCCAUGUGUAACGGUGAAAUGCGUAGAUAUAUGGAGGAACACCAGUGGCGAAGGCGACUCUCUGGUCUGUAACUGACGCUGAGGCUCGAAAGCGUGGGUAGCAAACAGG